UGCAGUCGUACGCUUCUUUUUCCACCGGAGCUUGCUCCACCGGAAAAAGAAGAGUGGCGAACGGGUGAGUAACACGUGGGUAACCUGCCCAUCAGAAGGGGAUAACACUUGGAAACAGGUGCUAAUACCGUAUAACAAUCGAAACCGCAUGGUUUUGAUUUGAAAGGCGCUUUCGGGUGUCGCUGAUGGAUGGACCCGCGGUGCAUUANCUAGUUGG
rnacentral:rRNA from 1 species